UGCGGAUUCCAAUAGAUAUUUCACGGCUUAUAGCUAAUGAAGCUCCUAAUUUUUAACAGUCUCCAAUUCGACUCGAAGGAAUAAAUAAACAAUGUUCAGGGCCUGUUUCAAAAUCGCCUAUAAGUUGACGGGGGCUCUCCACAUCUGUUCGUUAUUCGGCUUGCUCUGUUGGUGGUUUGCUCCUGCUAGUGGGUCUCUCUGUACUCUCCUGGAUUGAUCAAGAUGACGGGCGGCACAGUUUCGGACAUUCCGGAGGAUUCAUAUGCCCC